rnacentral:tRNA from 1 species
AAUUAGAAAGCAAACCUUUGCAAUCAGUUUCGACCUGACUUUUGGUGAUUAUUUCACCUCUAUUUA